rnacentral:rRNA from 1 species
UACGGAGGGUGCGAGCUUUGUCCGGAAUUACUGGGCGUAAAGGGCGCGUAGGCGGCCUGUUAAGUCGAACGUGAAAUCCCCGGGCUCAACCCGGGAACUGCGUCCGAUACUGGCAGGCUUGAAUCCGGGAGAGGGAUGCGGAAUUCCAGGUGUAGCGGUGAAAUGCGUAGAUAUUGGGAGGAACACCAGUGGCGAAGGCGGCUCGCUGGACCGGUUCUGACGCUGAGGCGCGAAAGCGUGGGGAGCAAACGGG